rnacentral:rRNA from 1 species
UUCCCGUACCGACCAUGGACCGGCAAAACCGAGACGGUGAGUACUAACCUCCGCCUCGUGGUGGUUCCUUCCUUCGGGUUGGUGUCGCCACGUGGUGUUGGGAGCGUAGCCGUAGUAGGUCAGCGCAGGGGUGACACGGAAUGGGAGCCGGCCGCGGAGGUGGUUUUCCGUGGUCAAGCACGCAGCCAGUCAUGUAGGCAAAUCCGCAUGGCGCGCAUGGCGAGGUGUGAUGAUGGGAGCCGUUAUGGCUCGAUAUCCGGUUGUCCAGGCCGUCGAGAAAAGCCUCGGCGUGAGGGCCAUGGCCGCCCGUACCCCAAACCGACACUGGUGGUCAGGUAGAGAAUACCAAGGCGAUCGAGCGAAUCCUGGUCAAGGAACUCGGCAAAUCACUCCCGUGCCUUCGGUAUAAGGGAGACCCGCUGGGGUGAACCGGCUAGCCCGGGGAGCUUUGGUGGGUGGCACAGACCAGGGGGUAGCGACUGUUUACCAAAAACACAGGUGCAUGCGAAGGCGAAAGCCGCUGUAUAUGCACUGACGCCUGCCCGGUGCCGGAAGGUUAAGAGGAUCCGUCAAUCCCUUCGGGGACGAAGCGGUGAAUUCAAGCCCCGGUAAACGGCGGUGGUAACUAUAACCAUCCUAAGGUAGCGAAAUUCCUUGUCGGGUAAGUUCCGACCUGCACGAAUGGCGUAACGACUUCCCCACUGUCUCGACCAGGAGCUCGGCGAAAUUGCAGUACGAGUAAAGAUGCUCGUUAAGCGCAGAAGGACGAAAAGACCCCGGGACCUUUACUAUACCUUGGUAUUGGCGUUAGGCGCGGAUUGUGUAGCAUAGGCGGGAGGCUUCGAAGCGGGUGCGCCAGCAUUCGUGGAGCCGCAAGGUGAAAUACCGCUCUGUUCUCGUUUGACGUCUAACCUCGACAAGUCAUCCUUGUCAGGGACAGUGCCUGGCGGGUAGUUCAACUGGGGCGGGUGCCUCCCAAAGAGUAACGGAGGCGCUCAAAGGUCCGCUCAGCCCGGUUGGCAAUCGGGUGUCGAGUGUAAUCGCACAAGCGGGCUUGACUGCGAGGACGACGGUCCGAGCAGGGACGAAAGUCGGAGAUAGUGAUCCGGUGCCGGCGCACGGGCGCGGCAUCGCUCAACGGAUAAAAGGUACCCCGGGGAUAACAGGCUGAUCAUUCCCAAGAGUCCAUAUCGACGGGAUGGUUUGGCACCUCGAUGUCGGCUCGUCGCAUCCUGGGGCUGGAGCAGGUCCCAAGGGUUCGGCUGUUCGCCGAUUAAAGCGGCACGCGAGCUGGGUUCAGAACGUCGUGAGACAGUUUGGUCUCUAUCCUCUGCGCUCGUUGGAAUCCUGAGGAGGCCUGCCCAUAGUACGAGAGGACCUGGGUGGACGAACCUCUGGUAUGCCGGUUGUCGCGCCAGCGGCACGGCCGGUUGGCUAUGUUCGGGAGGGAUAACCGCUGAAAGCAUCUAAGCGGGAAGCCUGCUCCAAGAUUAGGAUUCCGUACGGUCUUGAACCGUUGUAGCCCGCAUGUUGAACACGUGUUUGAUAGGCCGGAGGUGGAAGCCCCGUGAGGGGUGGAGCCGACCGGUACUAACGGGCGAUGGCGACA